UUACCCACAGAUGAGAAGCGGUUUAUAAUAACUGAUUUAUCCUGUCUGACCAUUAUAUCUCUCCUCUUCCUCCAGGGACCAGCGGGACCCAAGGGAGAUAAGGGUGACCAAGGAGAUAUUGGGCCCAGGGGCCCUCCUCCCCACAACUCAUACGCUGGUCUGCACAGUAAUCAGAUCCUCACCGUCAAGGGUGACCAAGGGUCUCCUGGCCCCAGAGGCCCUCCUGGAAACACAGGAAAAGACGGGCCCCGUGGCCCGGCUGGAGAACAGGGUUUCCCUGGUCGCGAUGGUAUGGAGGGCCAUGCAGGUUCACCUGGAAAGCCAGUAAGUCUCCAAGUUCCUACACACACUACAUAGCACAGUGGUACACAUAUAAGCAUAUAUAAAGUACACUUUAAAUACAUGAAGUUUAUACCUGCAUAGAUGCCUAUGUAUGCAAUGAGGUAGACGCUGGAGUAUUGACCAUUGUUGACCCCUGUGCACUCUCAGGGUGAAGAUGGUCAAGCAGGAUACGCAGGACCACAGGGACCCCCAGGGUCAAAGGUGAUGAUGCUAAUGCUAACACCCCUUCUCUUUUUUAUCUUUGUCAGACUAGCAACAGACCACCUGUAUUUUAUUCUC
rnacentral:lncRNA from 8 species